GACGAACGCUGGCGGCGUGCCUAAUACAUGCAAGUUGAGCGCUGAAGGCUGGUACUCGUACCAACUGGAUGAGCAGCGAACGGGUGAGUAACGCGUGGGGAAUCUGCCUUUGAGCGGGGGACAACAUUAGGAAACGAAUGCUAAUACCGCAUAAAAACUUUAAACACAAGUUUUAAGUAUGAAAGAUGCAAUUGAAUCACUCAAAGAUGAUCCCGCGUUGUAUUAGCUAGAUGGUGAGGUAAAGGCGCACCAAGGGGAUGAUACAUAGCCGACCUGAGAUGGUGGUUGGCCGAAUUGGGACGGAGACCCGGCCCAAACUGCCACGGGAGGGAGCCAGAGGGAAACGUCGGGAAUCGGUGGAAGACUGACCGAACAAGGCCGAAGGAGGGUAGAAGGUUGUCGGGUCGGAAAACUCGGUUUGUAGAUAAGAACCUUUGUUAGAGAGGGAAGCUGAUUAAGUGACGGUAACUAGACAAAAAGGGCCGGCUAACUACGUG
rnacentral:rRNA from 1 species